UAUCUCUGUAGAGUCUGCAUAUCAAUAAGCGGAGGAAAAGAAACUAACUAGGAUUCCCUUAGUAACGGCGAGUGAAGCGGGAAGAGCUCAAAUUUGAAAUCUUCAAGGUUUUACCUUGACGAAUUGUAGUUUAAAGAAGUGUUUUCUGUUGGAGUUUUGGUAAAAGUUCUUUGGAAUAGGACAUCAUAGAGGGUGAGAAUCCCGUAUUUGACCAUUACUUUCCAGCGUUGUGAUACACUUUCAAAGAGUCGGAUUGUUUGGGAAUGCAGUCCAAAAUGGGUGGUAAAUUUCAUCUAAAGCUAAAUAUUGGCGAGAGACCGAUAGCGAACAAGUACCGUGAGGGAAAGAUGAAAAGAACUUUGAGAAGAGAGUUAAACAGUACGUGAAAUUGUCAAAAGGGAAGCGUUUGACACCAGUGUUGUUUUCUCGAAAAUCAAUUAAAAAAGUCAGGAUUUUGUAUUGUAAUUGACUUUAUCAGCUUACUGCUACUCUUUUCUUGUCUUUUUUAAUGCACUUUUCGUUUAACAAGUCAACAUCAAUUUCUUUUGUUGUAAAAGAGUCAUUGGAAGGUGGCUUUCACUUUCGGUGAAAGUGUUUAUAGCCUUUGGCCUCUGCAAUCGGAGAGAUUGAGGUCUGCAGCGUAGAUCCUUCGGGGUUAGAUACAGUUAGAUGCUAAGUUAUAGCCUUUUCAUAGACAACUUGUUGACUAUAAUCAUCAUGUAGCUUACUCGCUUAUGGCUAUUUUACCUACGCUUAGGAUGUUGAAGUCAUCGUAUCGCGC
rnacentral:rRNA from 1 species